rnacentral:rRNA from 1 species
CAGCCGCCGCGGGAAUACGAAGGGUGCAAGCGUUACUCGGAAUUACUGGGCGUAAAGCGUGCGUAGGUGGUGGUUUAAGUCCGUUGUGAAAGCCCUGGGCUCAACCUGGGAAUUGCAGUGGAUGCUGGGUCACUAGAGUGUGGUAGAGGAUAGUGGAAUUUCCGGUGUAGCAGUGAAAUGCGUAGAGAUCGGAAGGAACAUCUGUGGCGAAGGCGACUAUCUGGGCCAACACUGACACUGAGGCACGAAAGCGUGGGGAGCAAACAGGAUUAGAUACCCCGGUAGUCCCUGUCUCUUAUAC